rnacentral:lncRNA from 1 species
AUUAAUAAAAAUAUUACAUUCAUGACAUGACAUAUGUAAUACUUUUGACCUCCAUUACAAAAGAUAUACCAAAAGAUAACACGAAUCCAUUAAAGACAAUUACAUUGUCACCUAAAGAACGAAAUAUAAAUGAAACAUAUGUAACAUUAGUCCUUAAACUUCAGGUUGUUUGGAUGAUGAUGAUGCUUCGUCAGUUGGCGGAACAAAUUUGCGGAGGAUGGCUGUCACAUCGACAUUGUUUUCUGCCCACAUUAGAAGUCGAAUGAUAAGUUUUGGCGUUUCCUUCACAAGGGCAAGUGUUGGAGGACAAAUUUCUGGUGGGA